CAUGUCCUUUUGAAAAUAAUUUAAGGUCUGAUCUGCUCAAUGAAUAUUAAAUAGCCGCAGUAUUUUGACUGUGCAAAGGUAGCAUAAUAAUUAGUUUCUUAAUUAGGAACUGGAAUGAAUGAUUUGACAAGAAAAUUACUGUCUCUUUUUUAAUUUUUUUGAAUUUUAUUUUUAAGUGAAAAAGCUUAAAUUUAUAUAAAAGACGAGAAGACCCUAUAGAGUUUAAUAUUUUACUUUAAAUUAUAAUUAGAAAUAAUGUUUAAUUUAAUUUAUUUGGUUGGGGUGAUUUGAAGAUUUAAUAGAUUCUUUAAAAAAUAAAUUGGUGAUUUCUAAAUUUAAAGUCUAUAUAUUAUAAUAAUAAAAUAAAUUACCUUAGGGAUAACAGCGUAAUUUUUUUUAAAAGCUCUUAUUAAAAGAAAAGUUUGCGACCUCGAUGUUGGAUUAAAAUUAAUUUUUGGUGCAGUAACUUAAAAAUUAGGUCUGUUCGACCUUUAGAAUUUUACAUGAUCUGAGUUUAGACCGGUGUAAACCAGGUUGGAUUCUAUCUUUAGAAUGUUAAUAUAUUUUAGUACGAAAGGACCAAAUAUGUGUUAAAUUAAUU
rnacentral:rRNA from 1 species